rnacentral:rRNA from 1 species
CUUGUCUCAAAGACUAAGCCAUGCAGUCUAAGUAUAAGCAAUUAUACCGCGAAACUGCGAAUGGCUCAUUAAAUCAGUUAUCGUUUAUUUGAUAGUUCCAUACUACUUGGAUAACCGUGGUAAUUCUAGAGCUAAUACAUGCGAAAAACCGCAACUUCGGAAGCGGUGUGUUUAUUAGAUUAAAGACCAAUGCCCUUCGGGGCUCACUGGUGAUUCAUGAUAACCUCUCGAAUCGCACGGACUUGCGCCGGCGAUGGUUCAUUCAAAUUUCUGCCCUAUCAACUUUCGACUUUAGUGUAGUGGACUAAAGUGGUUGCAACGGGUAACGGAGGGUUAGGGCUCGACCCCGGAGAAGGAGCCUGAGAAACGGCUACUACAUCCAAGGAAGGCAGCAGGCGCGCAAAUUACCCAAUCCCGACACGGGGAGGUAGUGACAAUAAAUACUGAUACAGGCUCUUUUGGGUCUUGUAAUUGGAAUGAGUACAACUUAAAUCCCUUAACGAGGAACAAUUGGGAGGGCAAGUCUGGUGCCAGCAGCCGCGGUAAUUCCAGCUCCAAUAGCGUAUAUUAAAGUUGUUGUGGUUAAAAAGCUCGUAGUUGAACCUGGGCCUCGCGCCGGCCGGUCCGCCUCACCGCGUGCACUGGCCCGGCCGGGGCUUUCACUUGGGGAUACGCAUGUCCUUCGGUGGGCGUGCGCGGAACCAGGACUUUUACUGUGAAAAAAUUAGAGUGUUCAAAGCAGGCCUAUGCUCGGAUACAUUAGCAUGGAAUAAUAGAAUAGGACGUGUGGUUCUAUUUUGUUGGUUAUGGGACCGCCGUAAUGAUUAAUAGGGACAGUCGGGGGCAUCAGUAUUCAAUUGUCAGAGGUGAAAUUCUUAGAUUUAUUGAAGACUAACUACUGCGAAAGCAUUUGCCAAGGAUGUUUUCAUUAAUCAGGAACGAAAGUUAGGGGAUCGAAGACGAUCAGAUACCGUCGUAGUCUUAACCAUAAACUAUGCCGACUAGGGAUCGGACGAUGUUACUAUUU